rnacentral:misc_RNA from 1 species
GAUGAAGAACGCAGCGAAAUGCGAUAUGUAAUGUGAAUUGCAGAAUUCAGUGAAUCAUCGAAUCUUUGAACGCACAUGGCGCCUUCCAGUAUCCUGGGAGGCAUGCCUGUCCGAGCGUCGUUUCAACCCUCGAGCCCCCGUGGCCCGGCGUUGGGGAUCUGCCACGGCAGGCCCCUAAAACCAGUGGCGGACCCGAAGGCCCUCUCCUUUGCGCAGUAGCAUCAGCCUCGCAUUGGGAUCCCUCGGCGUCCUGCCUCUAAACCCCCCACAAGUCCGCUCCGGCGGCACCAAGGUUGACCUCGGAUCAGGUAGGAAUACCCGCUGAACUUAAGCAUAUCAAUAAGCGGAGGA